GGCCAGUUCACGGUCCCUCAGACACUGUUGGGGGCCGGACAAUAAACAAUAUGAACAAAUUCCUAUGCACACUGCACACACACGCAUAAGGACAUAAAUACACACACACACACACAUACUGACAUACAUACAUAUAUAAACAGACAGACACAGAUAUAUACAUACAUAUUGAAAUACAUACAGAUACAUACACACAGACAGACAUGCAU